UGAACUUUCCACUCUCACACUCGUUCUUCUCUUACAACAGAGCUUUACGAUCCGAAAACCUUCUUCACUCACGCGGCGUUGCUCGGUCAGACUUCCGUCCAUUGCCGAAGAUUCCC
rnacentral:rRNA from 1 species